GCUGUUUUGUUUAUGAAACCAGAAGUUGCUGUCGCACCAGUCACAUCACGGGCAUCCACAGUCAGCAUCUUCCAUGUGACUCCAAAUCCUGUGCUCACUUGACCUGCUGGGGUCCCAAAUAUCUACAAAGAAAGAGUUUAGAAGAUGGACCUGUCCUUUUCGUUCUAUUUUAUGGAGCUGCACUUGGGAGCUGUGUCUUCCAGUGGCGAGGGGAACCACACAAACAAUCCCCAGGGCCUUUGCCAUCGCUAUCCGGGGCCGCCCCUCCUGAACCACACCCACGUGCCGUGCUCCGGUGCCUUCUCGCCGGGACCACCUGCCAUGCGCCCGGCAGCCAGUGAUAGGUUCUGUGAUGGAGCCCCCAGCUGUGACAGUGAGGCCAACGCUAGGUCCGGAAAAUGGAGAGCUCCCCUGAAGAGCAGCCAGACCCUGACCCAGGGGCGAGGAGAAACGGGACACACUAGGGACGGGUUCACCUGAUGACACAAUUGUGCCUUUGGAAGUUUGUGAUGCCAUCCUUAUAAAAAGGUAAGUAGGCGCAGAAGAAAUUAAUGUGAUCUUUGGAAGGUCAGAGUGAACCUGAGCUUUGAUUUUUAAGAUGCUUUAUCAAUUAGAGACCAGAGGUUUUUCCUGAUGAUAUUUAUUGCAUAAAUGUAAUUAUUUUUCUAAAACAUAUUAAAAUAGAAAACAUGUUCUUUUGAUCAGUUUAUACAAAGAAAAUACCAAU